UCAAUGUCAGCGCCGGAUCCAGCGACCCCGACUGUAGUUGCUCUGAGUACGAGGACUACCACUGACAAGGUUCCUGUUACAAGUUGGGUACUUUCUUGUUAUACAAGUUGGGUACUCUCUUAUCAAGUUGGGUUUUUAUUUAACCAAGUAUCUUGUCGAGGAGGUCAAGAUGGACAUCAACAAGCCUGAUACCGAUUAUUUAAUCGUGGAGCAUGCUGUGACCUAUGGCCAACUUACUGCCGUCAAGGACCUUCUUGAUCAUGGCGCUGAUCUGUAUCAUAAACGUUCAGGUUUGAUGUGCUGGGAUUUUAAAAGUCAUCUUAUGCUCAAAUGUGGGCACUAACUUUACUGAAACUUAGUGUAGCAUGAAGGUUUGAU